rnacentral:lncRNA from 1 species
CUCCCCGGUGCGACGGACUCAGAGCUCUUUGGCAUGGACCCCAGUGUCCCCAGCUUGAAGUCCGGCGGAUGCUGUGCUGGGUCUGAGACCUCCUCAUGUGUUCCUGGCCCGUCAGGGGUCCUGGGGGCAGGAGGAGUUGGAGUGUAGCCCCUGAACCCAGUCUCCCAGAAGGCCCAUGACCAUGGGCAAGUCACGGGGCUGCUUGGACCUUGCUACUCAGUCUGAUGGCAAAAAGGCUGGAUAACUCAUCUCCAAGGUGCUGUCCACCUCUGACAUGCUGAGUGGGCCUCCUUCAUGGGGUCAAGCACAAAUACCAGCCUGCAGAACCCCAGCAGUGGAGGACGGACUCUGGGAACCCCAACUGUUCCCAGAACCCCAACUGUUGGGCCACGAGGCAGGCUCCACCCACAUUGGGACCCUUGGCCUGGGUCCAUCCCUGCCCUGACAAGUCCUGGCAAGAAUGAAGACCAGUUUUCCUGGGGCCUCCUCCAGCUGAAAAGUCCCUGUCUCCAAUUUGCACCUGCCUGGAUGCCUGCCCCCGACUGAGCACAGGAUCCAGAGAGAUACAAGCCACGGAGCCCUACAGACUAGAAGCUCUUGCACGGCUGCCCCGCAUUUUGUGUGUAAGAAUCUUUUCUUAAAUUUAUUUUUAAUUGAGGGAUAAUUGCUUUACAACGUUGUGUUAGUUUCUGCCAUCCAUCAACAUGAAUCAGCCAUAGACAUGCGCAUGUCCCCUUCCUCUUAAACCUCCCUCCCAUCUCCUGUGCCGUCCCACCCCUCUAGGUUGUCACAGGUCACCAGGCUGAGCUCUCUGCACUAUACACCCAGUUCCUGUUAGCUCUCUGCUUUACACAUGCUAGUGUAUCUGAGCCACCAAGGAAGCCCAGUGUAAUAUCUCAAUGCUGCUCUCUCCAUCCGUCCCACGCCCUUCUUCCUCGGCUGUGUCUGUCAGUCUGUUCUCUAUGUCUGAGUCUCUAUUCCUGCCCUGCAAAUAGGUUCAUCAGUACCUUUUUUCUAGGCUCCAUAUAUAUGUGUUCAUAUUUGUUUUUCUCUUUCUGACUUACUUCACUCUGUAUAACAGGCUAUAGGUUCAUCUGUUUCACUGUAGUAGGACCUGUGGAACCUUCCCUACCAGGAAAGCACGAAGACAGAGAGCACUUCUUCACAGUAUCCUACCACGUCCUGGACUGCAGCCCAGGGGAAAGCCCAAAUAUCCAACAAUGGUGGUGGGGAAAUGAAGAUAUUAUUUAUAUAUUUACAUGUAACACAAAUAUUGGAGUGUGUUUGUGUGUGUGUGUGUCUGUGUGUAGAGAGAGACAGAGAGAGAGAGAGAGUGAAAUAUUCAUUCUUAGCAAGGAGGUUAUGACUGCAUUAAGUAACCUUCUCUGUUGGAUUAAACGACCAAACAAGGAA